AUUUAUUAAGGUUUAUUUAUUUUAGUUACUAUAGUUUAUUUUAUUAUAUUUUAUUAAGGUUUAUUUAUUUUAUUAAGGUUAAUUUAUUUUAUUUACUAUAAAAAAAUGAACAUAGAUGCGCCUAUAGAGAAAAUUCAACCAAAAUUCAUAAUAAAUUUCUAUGAAAUUCAAAGAAAUUUACUGUGAAUUUAGGUCAAAUUCCCUGUAUAAGGGCAUCUAUUUUCACUUUGAGAGGAGCUGUACAAGGCAGAGAGGGACGGGCUUAUAAACUGGUGUGAGCGCCCUUCGAUUGGCGAGGUGGGACUGAACACUGGCCGCAACUAGGACCAGCACUUUAGUCCCGGUUUGUGGUAUGAACCGGGACUAAAGGGUGGUGGGCCAGGAGCGUGGCCCAUUGGUCCCGGUUUGUCCCACCAACCAGGACCAAAGGGGCCGGACGAACCGGGACCAAUGCCCCCACGAGGCCCGGCAGGCCCCUGGCCGCACGAACCGGGACCAAUGCUCGCAUUAGUUCCUGUUCGUGACUGAACCGGGACUAAUGUGAAUAUUGCCCUGUGACCAAAGCCCAGUUUUCUACUAGUGUUGGUCCAAACAUUAUAGUGGGGCAUGAAACCGGACUUAAACAGGUGGACGUGAAUGGUUCUUGACGUAGAGUAAUUGUGAUCAUUCUUAUAGACUAAACAUGGACAAGGCAUAAAACCAUCCGCCCGCUUGUUUGCCUCAGCCGCAAGCAGAAAAGUUUGCACGCCAUUAAUGAACUCGGGAGAGCAUCGGUCAUCGUACAUCCAUUGUCGGCUCAUCUUCAUUACACAACACCGAAUAGACCAAAUUAAUACAAGUUCAUACAUAAAGUUCAUACAUAAACUUCAUACAUAAAGUUCAUACAAGACUUAAAUGCAACAAACAAAUAACUCUCUAACUAAAGAAUUUAAAUGCAACAACAAAUGCGAUCAAGAUCGCAACUAAGGUAACAAUUCAUCCAACAGCAUAAUGAUACCAAGCCUCACUAUCAAUGGCAUAUUUUCUAAUCUUUCUAAUCUUCACGCGCAUUUUCUCCAUCUUGAUCUUGUGAUCAUCGACGACAUCGGCAACAUGCAACUCCAAUUCCAUCUUCUCCCCGUCAAUUCUUUUCAAUUUUUCUUUCAAAUACUCGUUUUCCCUUUCAACUAAAUUUAACCUCUCGACAACCAAAAUUCAUAAUAAAUUUCUAUGAAAUUCAAAGAAAUUUACUGUGAAUUUAGGUCAAAUUCCCUGUAUAAGGGCAUCUAUUUUCACUUUGAGAGGAGCUCAACAAGGCAGAGAGGG
rnacentral:lncRNA from 1 species